rnacentral:rRNA from 1 species
GAUGAACGCUGGCGGCGUGCCUAAUACAUGCAAGUCGAGCGAACAGACGAGGAGCUUGCUCCUCUGACGUUAGCGGCGGACGGGUGAGUAACACGUGGAUAACCUACCUAUAAGACUGGGAUAACUUCGGGAAACCGGAGCUAAUACCGGAUAAUAUAUUGAACCGCAUGGUUCAAUAGUGAAAGACGGUUUUGCUGUCACUUAUAGAUGGAUCCGCGCCGCAUUAGCGAGUUGGUAAGGUAACGGCUUACCAAGGCAACGAUGCGUAGCCGACCUGAGAGGGUGAUCGCCCACACUGGAACUGAGACACGCUCCAGGCUCCUACGGGAGGCAGCAGUAGGGAAUCUUCCGCAAUGGGGGAAAGCCUGACGGAGCAACGCCGCGUGAGUGAUGAAGGUCUUCGGUUCGUAAAACUCUGUUAUUAGGGAAAAACAAAUGUGGAAGUAACUAUGCCCGUCUUGACGGUACCUAAUCAGAAAGCCACGGCUAACUACGUG